UCGAAUAGAAAAAAAAAAUGGAAUACGACUGACCUUUAAUUGACGAUUGUUUUUAUUUUCCGUAUUCAUUAUACACGGUUCUCGAAAAGAAAAACGUUCAAAUCGACGGCGGCGUCUACUACUCAGAAUGCGAAAACAAAUCUAUAUAUGCGGUGUGUACACAUGUAUUUUACACUUUGAUACAGUGUGUAGUGAAACAGUUGAGCGCGUUAUGCGCGUACGUGUGUUACAAUGAUCGUUACAAACAUGUUCAGCUCCGCCGCAUAUCAUAGGAAAUAGAUGUACAUCACACUAACAGCGUUAUAGAAUCAAAAUAAUAUCCUAUCAUGGCUCGCCAUGGAGAUGCGAGAACGCUAAGAGAUGGUCUUCAUAUCAGAUUUCAGCGGAAUCAGUCAUUCCACGAUCUCCGUCACUUAGCUGUCCGGUGCCGAGGUGUGUAAUUUAUAAACUGUGCAGUGUUUGUGCCCAAUUCAUUUGUUUGCGUACACAUUUAGUACACAGUUGUUUAUUAGCGAGUUAACGAUUUACACCGCUGCGAAUUUAUUUGAUUUUUAAAAAUGUUUUAAUUUUAUCCUGGCAUUUCGUGUGUGGUAUCUGUAUAUCCGUUCACGAGCAACUGCCCACAAAUAAUUGCACGUAACAGAAAGUCAAAAAAAUAUUUCAGCGGUUUAAAGGCGUUGAAUGAUUACAUAGUGAAGUUUGGAAAUACAUACUCGUAUUAUUUAUCUGCGGAAUCUAAAGUAGAAAAGCUUCAUUACAGAGGCACCAUUUGGGAGAGAAUAUUGCGUGAAUUGAUAUCCCUAUAUUCAAUAAAUAAACUGAAUUAGUUUAUUUUAUAUCUUAUUAUUCUUAUUAGCAUAAUUAAAUAAAAUCAACCGAACUUUGACAUUCUUAAUAGAAAACUGAAGUGGCAUAAUCACUGAAUG